GGUCCCCACCAAAGCUGCGCCGACAGGCCAUGCGGGAGUGAGGGAGGCUUUACCUUCGGGUUCUGCCAUUCCUGCCACAUCUGGUGCCGGGCAUCGAUCCGACAGGGUAGUGCGCAUUGCGGCGCCGCCCGGGAUCGGAGGCACGGGGACGA
rnacentral:ncRNA from 1 species